UGGGGCAGUUUCAAGCCCCGCAAAUAAUAACCAUUUUGGGUACCUUAUGAAGGUUGACCUCGAUGUGAUAGCUUAGAUAAUAAAAAAUAACUUAGCCAUGGUGCUGAACAGAGAUUGUCAUGGAUUAUGCAAAUCUGCUUGUAAACACUCUGUAAAUUGCAUCACGUGAAAAGAAUUUUAUCCUUGGCAAUGCAUUAAUAAGUUUGAGUGAUUUAUAAUCUAUUAACCUGCAGUGUAGUUUGAGUGAUUUAUAAUCUAUUAACCUGCAGUGUUGGUUCAUUAAUUUGAUGAUUGCAUCACAUUAUUAGAAGUAAUAUAUUAGUUUCUUAAAGUUGACUAUCUCUUGUAUGAUAAAAUUCUUUUUAUUUUGGC
rnacentral:lncRNA from 1 species